CUCAUACUGCUUUCUUCUCAUGCAACCGACCUCAGUUUUACAUGAGAACUGCAGAUGUAACUGGGAAGGUGGAUCACCAGAAAUUGUAAAGAUGGUGAUGCAUGGUGAUUACUGCGGGUUUUUUGGGCUCACAUCACCUGUUCCUCUCGAAGUAGUUUGCGUUGGAGAUUGGAGGUGUUUUGAGAAAUGGCAGAGGAGAUAUUGUCAUGUCCUUUUUCUGUUGAUUCUCUCAAAGUGGAGGCUCUUCCCCCUGUGCAAGAGGUUGAGAAUUUUUGUGAAUUCCUUGUAAGAAGCCUUUGAUGAUCAAAAGGAAGCACCCAAAUUGUUAUUAGAUGGGUUUUUCCAUGGAGUUUGGAUCAUGGAAAACAGCUUUUGUCAUUUCUGAAAUUAGGGUUUUCACGAUCUUAGGGGUCGUUUGGAUGCCUGUAAAAAUGGUUAAAGCUGUUUGGCUCGAUUCUGUAAAUGACACAAGUAAAGGCCUGUUUGGAUGGCUGUAAGAUGGAUUAGUGGGAAGUGACUUUCAAGGAAGUUGCUUA